UACGAAGGGGGCGAGCGUUGUUCGGAAUUACUGGGCGUAAAGGGCGCGUAGGCGGCCGAUCAAGUCAGAUGUGAAAGUCCUGGGCUUAACCUGGGGACUGCAUUUGAUACUGAUUGGCUUGAAUUCGGGAGAGGAUAGCGGAAUUCCCAGUGUAGAGGUGAAAUUCGUAGAUAUUGGGAAGAGCACCGGUGGCGAAGGCGGCUAUCUGGACCGACAUUGACGCUGAGGCGCGAAAGCGUGGGGAGCAAACAGG
rnacentral:rRNA from 1 species